rnacentral:rRNA from 1 species
UACGGAGGGGGCUAGCGUUGUUCGGAAUUACUGGGCGUAAAGAGCUCGUAGGUGGUUUGUCGCGUUGUUCGUGAAAACUCACAGCUCAACUGUGGGCGUGCGGGCGAUACGGGCAGACUGGAGUACUGCAGGGGAGACUGGAAUUCCUGGUGUAGCGGUGGAAUGCGCAGAUAUCAGGAGGAACACCGAUGGCGAAGGCAGGUCUCUGGGCCACUACUGACGCUGAGAAGCGAAAGCAUGGGGAGCGAACAGG